rnacentral:rRNA from 1 species
GAUGAACGCUGGCGGCGUGCCUAAUACAUGCAAGUCGAGCGAACGGACGAGAAGCUUGCUUCUCUGGUGUUAGCGGCGGACGGGUGAGUAACACGUGGAUAACCUACCUAUAAGACUGGGAUAACUUCGGGAAACCGGAGCUAAUACCGGAUAAUAUUUUGAACCGCAUGGUUCAAAAGUGAAAGACGGUCUUGCUGUCACUUAUAGAUGGAUCCGCGCUGCAUUAGCUAGUUGGUAAGGUAACGGCUUACCAAGGCAACGAUGAUUAGCCGACCUGAGCGGUGGAUCGGCCACACUGGAACGGGGACACGGUCCAGACUCCUACGGGAGGCAGCAGUAGGGAAUCUUGCGCAAUGGGCGAAAGCCUGACGGAGCAACGCCGCGUGAGUGAUGAAGGUCUUCGGUUCGUAAAACUCUUUUAUAAGGGAAGAACAUAGGUGUAAGUAAAUGUUCACACCGUGACGGUACCUAAUCAGAAAGCCACGGCUAACUACGUG